GUUGGGAGGGAGGAAGGCAGAAACCAGCGCCAUCUUUGAGGCGAGGCACGUCGCAGCUCCCUACAAUGCUGACAAAUUUCAUGUGAUGUUUGAUUCACUGGGAGGUUAGAUGUGAAAGUGGGGCUACUUCAGACCCAAGCACAUCUCUGUCAAGUGUCCUCCAAGGCCUCUUCUCUAGGGCAGGUGUGUAGUGGUGAAAAGCCUGGUCGCAACCUUACAGCACUGGAGGAAUCACUGUGUCAAAACUGAUUUGGCAAGCAGACAAGCCUUUAAUGGUGAGCCUACCACAGCAUGGUGGCAGCCAAGUUUUUGCUGGCAGCAUUUUAAGAUGGAAAAGAUGUCUAAAGCUCAGGAUGAUCCUGGACGUCCACCUCCUGUGUGCUGAGACUGCAAGUGUGAACCAACCGCAAUACUACGUACUUAACGUCUUUCAAGAUUUUGUCCAGUUUUGUUAUUUUAAAUACAAUCGACAAGUAACAGACAGCUAAAGGCAGUUUUCAUCCCUCAGCAAAGAAGCUUCUCUUUGCCAUAGACAACACAAUUACUGAAAACUACCACUGCUUAAAAAUACGAAGAUCAACUGAGGAUGGGGUGCCCAGACCCAGUGGAUACAUCUUCAAUACAAGUCCUGCUCCUAAGGCUCAGGAAGCUCCCAAGGGAAAGGCUGGUACAAUUAUUAAAGCCCAAGGGACAGAAAGUCUUCUAUGACAUUGUGUCUCCUGGAAAUGUCAGAGGAACAACAUGGCUGCCUUAAACAAGUCCCUAACAAUGAUGUCUAAGAACAUCCUAGAGAGGAAGGAGGGAAAUAUCACAGGGCUUCAUUCUCAGAGAACUACAAAGAACUUUCAAAUAAUUACUGUUGAAAGAGUGAAAGAAAAUGAGUUUCUUCCAUGGAUGAAGCCCCUAAUUGGUUAUCCAGGAAGAAGAGGUCAUCCCUGAAAUAAUAAUAAUAAGUGUGUGUGUGUGUGUGUGUGUGUGUGUGUGCAUGUGUGUGUGUCUAUGUGUGUAUGUGUGUGUAUAUGUGUGUGUGUGUGUGUGUGUGUGUGUGUGUGUGUCUGUGCGUGUGUUCACAAAGGAAAAAUGGUCAGGAAUUUAAGAAGGAGAACCAUGGUAAGAAUAGAAGAGUAGAAA